UAGAGUUUGAUCCUGGCUCAGAACGAACGCUGGCGGCAGGCUUAACACAUGCAAGUCGAACGCCCCGCAAGGGGAGUGGCAGACGGGUGAGUAACGCGUGGGAACGUACCCUUUACUACGGAAUAACUCAGGGAAACUUGUGCUAAUACCGUAUGUGCCCUUCGGGGGAAAGAUUUAUCGGUAAAGGAUCGGCCCGCGUUGGAUUAGCUAGUUGGUGGGGUAAAGGCCUACCAAGGCGACGAUCCAUAGCUGGUCUGAGAGGAUGAUCAGCCACAUUGGGACUGAGACACGGCCCAAACUCCUACGGGAGGCAGCAGUGGGGAGUAUUGGACAAUGGGCGCAAGCCUGAUCCAGCCAUGCCGCGUGAGUGAUGAAGGCCCUAGGGUUGUAAAGCUCUUUCACCGGUGAAGAUAAUGACGGUAACCGGAGAAGAAGCCCCGGCUAACUUCGUGCCAGCAGCCGCGGUAAUACGAAGGGGGCUAGCGUUGUUCGGAAUUACUGGGCGUAAAGCGCACGUAGGCGGGUAUUUAAGUCAGGGGUGAAAUCCCAGAGCUCAACUCUGGAACUGCCUUUGAUACUGGGUACCUAGAGUAUGGAAGAGGUAAGUGGAAUUCCGAGUGUAGAGGUGAAAUUCGUAGAUAUUCGGAGGAACACCAGUGGCGAAGGCGGCUUACUGGUCCAUUACUGACGCUGAGGUGCGAAAGCGUGGGGAGCAAACAGGAAAAGAUACCCUGGUAGUCCACGCCGUAAAC
rnacentral:rRNA from 1 species